UUUCGGGUCGGAAAACUAACGAAAAAGCGCCCCGCAGCCCUCUCCUUCCACCUCUUUCCGACUUCCAGGGAAACUACAAGACUUUGCCCGAGAGGAAGGGGGUGUGGGGAGGCUCCCUUCAGAAGCAAAAAGUCCCGGCAAACAGCGAGGGCACAAAAGGGUCCCUCGCGCGGCGCUCCGCACCCCCUCUCGGUUCCCCGGGCGGGUCCCGUGGCGAGGGGUGGGCUAGAAAGUGUGAAAAGCCCCGCCGGCGCCGGAAAGCGCGUCCGGGGGCCUCUGCGAGGCCGCCCGGCUCUUCGGGAGCUCCGAGGGGCCCUGCGGGCCUCGCGGCGGACAGCGAGGGCGAGUCCCGAGGUCCGAGAGCGCCGCGACCCGCCUUGGCCCCUGAGGGGCCCCGCCGGGAGGACUCGGGCCAGACCCGGAGAAGCCGCUGACCACCCCGCCCUGGUCGUCGUCCACGUCCGCUCGGCCCGCGCGGCCCCGCGCUGGACGUGCCCGCCCCGGGCACCCAGCCCCUUCCGUCCGCCCCCGCCCCGGGAAGUCCCCGGCCCCGAGCCCAGCCGCCGCCCGGGGAGGUGUGGGCGAGCGCGCUGGAAGGAAACCGCGGCGGCCCGGCCCCUGGACGUGUCCGGGAAGGAACGCGGACUUUCUCUCAUUCCACAAGUCUUCCUUGUGUACACCCAGGGAGUCAGGCUUCACCGGUGACAAAGGGAAGACCCCGCUUGCUCCCUCGUUCAGCCUCACUCCAUUCAUCAGGAAGUGAUCCCACGGGGCAAGCUUUGCCCUAUUCCAGUGACGAAGAGUCAAGGCUAGCAGUUUUGCAGAAUAUCCCACAGUCUGGUUUUUGAUGACUUCCUCAAGAUUCAGAUGAAAAGUCUUGUCAAGAAAAUGCCACAGUUAGGUUUGUACUUCCCACGUCAUCACAUCAGGAGACCUCUGACGUCCUCAUCGGUCCGGUGCACGACCAAGCCACCCAAGGUGGUGUCUGACAGCCAGCUUCCGGCACUGCGUAACAGAAACCAGUGAGGAAUGAUGCCUGUCCGCCCCUGCCCUCCAGGCGCAGGGGGAUGCCAACAGGGUCGGCUUGGACCUCCA
ensembl:lncRNA